rnacentral:sRNA from 1 species
CAUGCCCCUUAUACGCUGGGCUACACACGUGCUACAAUGGGUAGAACAGAGAGUCGCAAAGCUGUGAAGUGGAGCUAAUCUCAGAAAACUAUUCUUAGUUCGGAUUGUACUCUGCAACUCGAGUACAUGAAGUUGGAAUCGCUAGUAAUCGCGAAUCAGCAAUGUCGCGGUGAAUACGUUCUCGGGUCUUGUACACACCGCCCGUCACACCACGAGAGUUGGUUGCACCUGAAGUAGCAGGCCUAACCGUAAGGAGGGAUGCUCCGAGGGUGUGAUUAGCGAUUGGGGUGAAGUCGUAACAAGGUAUCCGUACGGGAACGUGCGGAUGGAUCACCUCCUUUCUAAGGAGUAUAAGUCUUUCUCUAUUCUAUUGGUAAUGUUCUUUACAUUACUUCUGAACAUUGGAAACUAUAUAGUAGAACAAACAAGAAAAAAAUUAACUCUAACAAUUUCUUAGAGUUAGCUGUCAAAAAAUAGGUUAAAAUAAUUAAGGGCACACAAAGGAUGCCUUGGUAGUAAGAGCCGAUGAAGGACGUGGUAAGCUGCGAUAAGCCUAG